UGUUGGGGUGUAGCCCUGAGUCUGGAUGUCUUUAGAUUAACACCUUUAUUCCAUGUUAUUCAACAGGAAACAAAGCUUAGCAGGAGAGGAGAGCCAGAGAAAGGACAGGGAAGCUGCAGGUUACCACAGUUUGAACUCAGCCAAAUCACAGUGGUGGCAGGGGGUAGCUGCUACAUGAAGACAUGUGUUAGCCACUCUCCUUGCAAACACAAGGACUGUAUUUGUGACUCGUACUCCAGGUUAUUUUAGUUUCUGUGCCGUGGCCAUGCGAAGCGCUCCACCGAGGGCUCUGGGGACUCACUGUCCGUUUCCGCGCCCAUGCCGUCGAUUUGCAAACUGUAAUAGACUGAUCAUGACGCUGAAUAAAUGUGUCUUCUUUUUUACCUGUGCCGUGUAAGGGAGUGUGAUGUGAGCCCCUGCCGUGCCCUCGUAGCCAUCACCUGCUGGUGACAGACUAGGCCUAGCUCAGACCGAGGGGGCUCCGCUAUACUGGAGUGCCAGCAUGGGCGGCAGUGGGUCCAGUGCAGCUCCUAGCAUGAGACUCCCCUUCCCUUCUCUUCCCUCCCCCGGAGCUGUAAUGUAGGAGCUGUCCUCGGCCAAGAUGCCUGCUAGUGUAGCCGGAUCAGAGUCCCUUGCAGCCCCCACGCAGCCUGACACCAGGCAUGAUGGCUUCAUGACUCAGUGCUGGGACCUGACAUGCAGGGCCUAGGACCAGUCAGUUCAGGAGCUAGGGCUGCGAUCAGUCCCUGCCCGCUCCCCAGCUAUCCCAGGAGCAGGGAGAUCGUGGCUUGUGGCAUGAUGGCCCUAGUUCAUGGGCGCUGUUCAAGACCAGUGUUGCCCUGGCAGCCUCAGGGCUCUGGAAGGGAGCAGCCCCUUAGCUGGUCUCCAAUCCCACAAUCCAGGUGGUGAAGGGAGCAGAGCACGGCCAGGGCAAUGUGGAAACAGGGCUGGCUUUGACCAGGGCUGUUUGGUGGCCAGGCUGGAGUAUGUGUCCUGCCCCUCUGCUCAGGCAGCUGGCACCAGUCUCACCUUGGGGGUAUUGGGAGACAGUUGGCAUGAGAUAUUGGAUCAACUUGUAGCUUGUGCUGGAAAAGCGAGGCAAGCCAGACUUGGGUGGUGUAGGGGUGGGUUGCAGGCAGAGCUGGGGCUGGCACUGGGUAAUCAGCAAGGACUGUGGCCCAGGCAGCUCCCUCAGCUGGACAGCGACAGCCCACCUGCAGUGGCAGCCCCUUAUAGUUGCUUUGAGGUAGUAUUGCUGUACUGGGAACUCUGGUCUUGCUGGUGGGUGACGAUGCAUUGGCCUGUUUAAACAGAGCUACAGGCUGGAGAGCUGGCGACCCAGCUGAGAGACCCUCACUUGGCAGUUCCAGUAGCAAAACAGGCUCAUGGGGGUGGGGGGGCUCCUAGUCCUUCCCUUGUACUGGUGGGCCCAGUUGAACGGCCUUGGCCCUCUGUAGAGCGCCUGGCCCUGUGUAACCUGUUUGCAGCAGACCCAUCUCUAACCUCCCGUGGACCAUGGGGGGGUUAGUCCGUGGCUGAGUUGACGCUGGCUAACGUUGAGGACAUGGUAGCGUGCGACCGCAGAGGAAGGCAAGCGACAAGGAGCCGUAGCUUACAGCCCAGGAGAUGCAGAUGUAGAGCGGCUAGCAAGCAUAGCACCAUGGCGUCGAGGCAGCCCGCAGCGCAGACAGCUAGAGCCUUGUGUACAGAUAAGCCAGGGGCAGACGCCCGUAGAGGCAGUGGCUAUGAGUGACCGGCGGAGGCAGCCCCUUGCUCUUAGGACUAGCAGGGUUUGUUACUGUGCUGCUAGGUAAGAACAGCUCUUCCUUCCCUCCCCGGGGGUUCGCCACUUCGGCUGCAGCUCCUGGACGGAUGCCGCCAGCUCCCUGGGUCACGGGCUGCUCUGCGCCCCCCUGGCCCCCUGCAUUAGUCUUGCUGCUGUUCCUCAAGCUGCUUCUUGUUAACGACUUGCUUAGUGCAGAGUCUGAACCUGAGCCUUCCCAUCCCCCCCGCCCUGGCCGUGCCUUUGGGGUGCACUAAUUGGCUGCCAGCUAAUGAGAAGUUCCCGGGUGGGGGCAAGGGGGUGGUGCUGUAUGUCUGGGACUGUUGAUCUAAUGCAUGCAUCUGCUUUUCAGGAGCUGCUGCCCUACCCACUGAGCCAGAGGACUCCACACAGCUGACGGCUGCUUUCCCAGGUGGCCAGAAACCCAGGUGUCCGGGUCCCGUGGCUGCUGUGUAGCUGUGUCGGAUCAUCCCUAUGGGAAUAGUUCUUAUUUUAAAUAAAGUCUCCUUUUUUAGAAA